UACAGAGGUCUCAAGCGUUGUUCGGAUUCAUUGGGCGUAAAGGGUGCGUAGGUGGCGGGGUAAGUCAGGUGUGAAAUCUCGGGGCUCAACCCCGAAACUGCACUUGAUACUGCCUUGCUCGAGUACUGGAGAGGAGAUUGGAAUUUACGGUGUAGCAGUGAAAUGCGUAGAUAUCGUAAGGAAGACCUGUGGCGAAGGCGAAUCUCUGGACAGUUACUGACACUGAGGCACGAAGGCCAGGGGAGCAAACGGG
rnacentral:rRNA from 1 species